rnacentral:rRNA from 1 species
GAUGAACGCUGGCGGCGUGCCUAAUACAUGCAAGUCGAGCGAACGGACGAGAAGCUUGCUUCUCUGAUGUUAGCGGCGGACGGGUGAGUAACACGUGGAUAACCUACCUAUAAGACUGGGAUAACUUCGGGAAACCGGAGCUAAUACCGGAUAAUAUUUUGAACCGCAUGGUUCAAAAGUGAAAGACGGUCUUGCUGUCACUUAUAGAUGGAUCCGCGCUGCAUUAGCUAGUUGGUAAGGUAACGGCUUACCAGGGCAACGAUGCAUAGCCGACCUGAGAGGGUGAUCGGCCACACUGGAACUGAGACACGGUCCAGACUCCUACGGGAGGCAGCAGUAGGGAAUCUUCCGCAAUGGGCGAAAGCCUGACGGGGCAACGCCGCGUGAGUGAUGAAGGUCUUCGGAUCGUAAAACUCUGUUAUUAGGGAAGAACAUAUGUGUAAGUAACUGUGCACAUCUUGACGGUACCUAAUCAGAAAGCCACGGCUAACUACGUG